UUAGCAAACCAGCCCGAAAAAAAAGCCACAACUUUACAUUGUAUUGCACGCACAGCAAGACCAUGCAAUGUAUAAAUUGGUGACCGGAAUAAAUUAGCAAUGCAAUCAAGUUUUUAAGAGAAUUUAAAAUCGUCAUUCAAAUGACCUACGUGGUACAAAUACAAAAAAUAAAAAUCUCUUCAGGGGCGCAGCCAUUUUUUUGAGAGCGUCAUCACUGCUCUCGGUCUACUAUCAGAUUUUCGAAAGAUGAAGACAAAAAGGGGGCGUGCCUUCGAGAACUGCCACAAGAGAGCUGGGAGAUCUUGGAUUUCGACUCGGAAGUCGGGGGUUCGAGGAAUCAGGAACACAACAUAAGUAUGCAGACAUUCAUGAGGCCACAGCUCUUGGUGGUUAGCCUGUUGGCCCUGUGUCGCAUGCCUGCUGGGAGGGCCUGUCUGCAGUGUGACCGCAAGACCCGACUCCUGCACGAGGACUUCCUCCUGUCGGCUGCCAGCGUGGAGAAGCAGAUUGCCCUCACGAUGAUCAGGGACCACGCCUAUGUCACCUACAGGCAGACUAGCCAGGCACACCGUGGUGUCAGUGAUCCCACCACUUUUUACAGAGUAAGCACUGAGUACCACAGUGAAUUCAAUCGCAUCAAGAAGACCCUGCAACCAGGUUCAGGGACAAUUGACGCCAUUCAAAUCAUGGAGAAGGGCCGGAAAAUCUUAGAGAAGCACUUGGUUAUUUUCAUCCGUGAAGGACUGUGCCCUAACAAGUGUGGGCAGCUGUAUCAAAGAGUGAUAGACUGCUCCUCCUGCAAAUACAAGUUAUACAAUUGUCCUUCUCCCCCAGACCAGCUGGACUGUGGCGAGCACCAUUUGGAGGCUGAAGAAGGGGACCAGGCUGUGUUGAACUGUUUCCUGCCCUGGCACAGCCUGAUUCAGGGAACACCAGAGUACCACUUUACCUGGGCCCCCGGCCCCCCUGGAUCCACACAGCUGGAAGAGAGCGAUUUCCAAACCCUGGUGGUCACCGAGGAGCCGUCGGUGGUGCUGAAUCAGCUGCACGCGAAAGAACAAGGGACGUACCGCUGUUCACUGCAGGACCGCAAGGCCACGGUCUUCUCCACAGUCACCUUCUUCCUCACUGUCACAGCUCUGCCCACCCAAACUCCCAUACAGCUAAUAACGUUGCCCACCCUGCCUCCAAGAUACACCUCCUCGACUCUUCCACUUACCAGAUACCAGUUGCUGUCUAUCAUUGCCACGGUGACCGCCCUCAGCCUGGUAGCCAGCAUAGGCCUCACAGUGGCCCUUGGACUGACAAUGAAGAGGAAGAUGAAGGAGCUAAGAGCAAGGAGAAUGGUGUCAGUUUAUUAACAAAGUUUCAGCUCCCGAAAUAAAAAUCCAACUCAACGCUUAUCAUUCUCUGCAGUCAAGGCUUUAAUCCUAUCAUGGGAUAUUUACGAUUCAGUCCUUUAGCAGAUGCUAUUAUCCAAAUGAUAUCAAGUAGCAGACGUGGACCCGAGAGCAGGUUCUCUGAGGGAGGGCUGACAUCACCAACACAUAAUUACUGACGCAGUUAACCUGAGGAGCCACGGGGACCUCCUGAUUGGAGACAAGAGGACCAGGGCCACGUGGGCCUGGAUAAGAAGAUCUGGAUGGAUAAAUCUCCAGGUUUAAUGUUUUUUUUCUAGGAUUAAUUGCCCCAGCAGCCCGCUUAAUCCCAAAUAAUCCCUGUGAGAGCAGAGCCGGUGAGUAUGAAUCCAUCCCUGUUGGUUUGUUGCCAUUGUUGUUUAGUCUGGAUAUUUGUUUCUGGGGAUGAAUUCAUGUUUUUUGACAUGAACACUACCACAUUUAAUUUAUAUAUCUUUCACAUUCAUUCUCUCUAGAUUGAAUGUUCUGGAUGAAUAUCUUCGUCCUCGUUUCAUAGCUGGUUAAGUGCAACCUUCUCACCUCAAGUCAAGUCAUAUUUUGCUCAUUACUUCCAAAGGAAUUUACUUCUGGGUUCCUUUGUUUAGUUGUGUUGUUUUGGAAUAGUUGUAGAUAAGCAGUGCAAAUUCAGAUCCAAAAUAGCGUUUUUGUUUGUAAUAGGUGAAGCAUUUCUGUCACGUAGUCCAAUUUUGAUAAUAAAGACAAUCACUUUUUAACCCAAAAAACUCAAAAUGAUACAUGUGUUUGAAUAUAGUUUUCCAAAAAUUUUAACAUUUCGUUUUUUGAGGCUAGCGGGCUGAACGUAGGCAAUGUGCCAGGGUGAAAGGGACAUGAUUCAUUGAAGGGAUGAAGAACAGGAGAGUGGUUGUGUAAGGAUUGUUGUGGUGAUAGCAGGGUGUAACGCUUCCAUUUCCUUUUUGGUAAACAGAAGAAAAAACACCUGCUUGUUAUACAUCACUUGUCAUAGCAAUAUGCAAACAAGAGUCCUGGCAAGGAAACGUCACCAACAAGUUGACUAUCAUUAUGUUAAAUGUUUGUCUGCAAAGUUCUAGGUCAAUAGAGAAAAACAAAGAGAUGAAUACCUCUUUCACUCGAUAAGAUAGUCAACACACACGCACACACACGCA